rfam:Macrostomum lignano uti_cns_0003134, whole genome shotgun sequence.
GGGACUGUAGCCCAGUGGUUAGAGCGUCCGACUCACAAUUCGAAGGUCGGGGGUUCGAUUACCAAUCCCA